UACGGAGGGUGCGAGCGUUGUCCGGAAUCACUGGGCGUAAAGGGCGCGUAGGCGGCUGGGGAAGUCGGCGGUGAAAGUCCGGGGCUCAACUCCGGAUCUGCGGUGGGUACGGGCAGACUAGAGUGAUGUAGGGGAGACUGGAAUUCCUGGUGUAGCGGUGAAAUGCGCAGAUAUCAGGAGGAACACCAGAGUGGAAGGCAGGAUCUCUGGGCCGUAACUGACGCUGAGGAGCGAAAGCAUGGGGAGCGAACAGG
rnacentral:rRNA from 1 species